CUCGCGGCGCCACACUCAAGAUGGUGACAGUGUACAGGAAAUGACGCCGCACCACUCUCAAGAUGGCGGCCCGGGCGCACGAGUCGAGCUGUCCUUCCCAAGAUGGCGGCGGGCUGCGCAUGCGCUGUGGGGAAGGACCAAAAAUGUCGCCGCGGUAGAACCUCUCUCCUCAUAAAGGCGUCUUCCCACCGGGGCCCGACCCCCAGCUCGGAGCGCGACCUCGCCACGGGGCUUCCCGGUGUGGGGAGGAGGGUGGUGGGUCAGGGCGGGCGGUGACAAGCAGCGGCGGGGCUCCAUCUCCUGCCCCUCGGUGGUGGCACCUGCAGGCCAAAGGCGGUACUGCACCCAGGGCACAGCGGGAUCCAUUUCCUAACGGGAGUCCUGGAAGCAGAACUGGGUGUGUGUGGGAAACGAGGAUGCUGCGGAUGGAGGGAUGGGAAUGGCGAGCCCAUAGUGAAUGUUGUCUGACAGGCCUGGCUGCCGAGGAUGACCUGUGUGAGAUCUGUGCCAACACUGCCUGCACUGGCUGCUUCUGAGUGAAGAUGGAAAACCCCACAGAAGAUGUGUCCAGCUGGGAAGUUUGUGCAUUCCUGUGGCGAGAUCAUGUACUUUCACCAAUCAGUAUUUCUGGGCUCCAUCUCCCACUGCAGCCAAACUGGAGCUGCCAGCUCGUGGGGACAUCCCUGCAGUCCUGCAGCACCUGGAUCAGGUGCCACCAGCAGAGCAGAUCUGCCAGCAAGGAGGCUGUGACUGCUCUGGGAAGUUCAGUGCUGCAGGAGCUGGGUGGCACUGGAAUGGAAAUGCCCUGGGUUUCAUUUCCCACUGUUUUGCCUGGGUUUGAACAAGCUCAGCAUCUCCUGCAGCCUUUUAAUAGCUAGUAUUUAAUAGCUAAUAUUUAAUAGCUAAUAUUUGCUGUCUAAUAAUUAAAAUUUAAUACUUAAUAUCUGCCUGUGAUUUGGCCUCCCCUACACACAACAGCAGCACUGGGUUAUCCCCUUUCCCAGCCCUCAUUCCCAGUGUGUUGGAUCCCUUUCCCUUCUCCCUGUCUGCAGGUGACACCUCUGAGUUUGUAGCAGAACUGCAACAAAUAACUUGAGACAAAUUCCUGGUGUUUAGGAGCACUCUGACAGCCAGAAAUCAGACUGUUCCUGAUUGUUGUUGAUUUAGGCAAUGGGUGUAGAGGAGCACAGGAGUUCUUCCCUGGUUGUAUACUGAGGUUCUUUAAACUCCCUGUAGGAGGAAGGAAUUCCAAACUGCAGUGCUGGAAUCACACUGAAAUGAAAGCACUGCCUGUUGUGUUAUUUCUCGGUGGCAAGAUUGUGAAGAAAGGAUGUGCCCAUGUUUAUAUGCUGUAUAGGAAAUAAAAACUAGGAAUAA